rnacentral:snoRNA from 1 species
AGGCCGUGAUGGGGACACUUGCGUAAUAGCUCCUUGAACCUUUCCCAAGUUUCAUAUAAGGAUUCCCCGUCCUCUUGUGAGUAUGUAUUAAUUUCAACCAUUAAUUU